AAGGCCCGGAAGAUGACUGAAUUGUUCUUUAAAACAUCUCGGGAUAUAUUUAAAUGAGCAGAACAGAAGUUAAAGACACAGCUUCUUCCAGUGCAGACACUGCACAGGUGAUGUGUACAUGUGUAUUCCUUUCCGGCUCACAGAAAUGGCAGUUACAUCGUACCCUGUUUAGCACCAUGAGCUGACCAUCCAUUCACCUGGAGACAGUUUUGAAGCCUCGCUGUGUCAUUAGAGCAGAGCCUCGUUCUGAACUCCGGGUCCGGCGGGCCCCACACCACCGUGAGGCUGCUGUCGCUCGGGGUGCACUUUGACGUUGUGGUGGCACUGUCUUCUCGGAGGCCUCGCUGUUCAACGUUUUGUAAGACUGUAUUUGCAUGUUUAUUUUUAUGUAAAUGCUGAAACAUCUGGUCUAGUUUACGAAACAAACAGGAAACACAAAGCCGAAGCACACUGCUGGCAUUUUCUCUGGCUCAGGUUGGUUUAAAGAGAACUGGCUCCGUGAGACCGUGUGUCUCCUCCAGCUGCCAGGGGCUCCCUCACUCCCUUCGUUCACUGUGCGUCUGUUGGUACAGAAUCUGUGCCUUGAUGUUGAUAAGGAAGGUGAUUCUGUGAUUUCUUUUCAAAGAAAGGAAGAAUGUGGAAUUGAUCUUCCCGUCUGUGCUCCUGAACUGGUUCACAGCAUGUAAUUACAUGUUCCUAAAAGGUUUGCUAGAACUUGUAA